rnacentral:rRNA from 1 species
GACGAACGCUGGCGGCGUGCUUAACACAUGCAAGUCGAACGGAAAGGCCCUGCUUUUGUGGGGUGCUCGAGUGGCGAACGGGUGAGUAACACGUGAGUAACCUGCCCUUGACUUUGGGAUAACUUCAGGAAACUGGGGCUAAUACCGGAUAGGAGCUCCUGCUGCAUGGUGGGGGUUGGAAAGUUUCGGCGGUUGGGGAUGGACUCGCGGCUUAUCAGCUUGUGGGUGGGGUAGUGGCUUACCAAGGCUUUGACGGGUAGCCGGCCUGAGAGGGUGACCGGCCACAUUGGGACUGAGAUACGGCCCAGACUCCUACGGGCGGCAGCAGUGGGGAAUAUUGCACAAUGGGCGGAAGCCUGAUGCAGCAACGCCGCGUGCGGGAUGACGGCCUUCGGGUUGUAAACCGCUUUCGCCUGUGACGAAGCGUGAGUGACGGUAAUGGGUAAAGAAGCACCGGCUAACUACGUG